UGUAUCUCGUGUCAUAAAUUAAUCCAAUCUUUAAAACCCAUCAUUUCUUUUACCCAUCCUUGAGAUAAAGUCACAUGGCUACACCUGGCUGUUCUCUAGACGCCUCAGAAAGAGGAAAUGAUUCAGGCAUUGAGCGUUCUGGGAAGGACUCAUUCUGAUUUUUAAUACUUCAGUAUUAAAAGUAAAUACAGAAUUCUAAGUACUGAAUAAGUAAUUGUUGCUAUUCCAUACACUUAUUUAAAACUUAGCCUCUUGGGAAAAGCAUAUGGUAAACUCAGGCUUCUUCUACACCCGUGUCUUUCAGGAUGGGGGAGAAAAUGGCAGAGAGGCUCAAACACAAGGCUUAGCCUCCACCUAUUCUGUGCUCUUUCCACCCAAACACAUGGAAUCAAGCUGCCACGGAAGCAGAAGCCUGGGGAGAACAGGAAACAAAAACGCAGAGAUACUGAGUUCAAGAGUGACUGCAGUGUUGGAAGAGGUGUGGGGCUGGAUGGGAGUGUGGGGACAUGUUAGAAAAUCGCUGUCAGAGGAGUUACCACAAAGAAAAGCUUUCUUUCUGAUUUUUACAUCCCAUCACUCAAAUUACUGUAACCUACAAAAUUCAUGAAUAUGCACCAGUUCCCCAUUGCACUAGGUAUUUGGUGGGGCAUGAAUUCAGAUUCUGAGAGGUGAAUAAGUCCAACAACACCUUGACUUCUUAAAUAUAGUCGUUUAGAAGACAAUGAGAUGGGCUUAGAUGUGUGAGGACUUCAUAAAUCCAUGUGUGAAAGAGAAUGGGUGAGGGGCCACGGUAAGACCUUGCAGCAAGUCUGACCAGGGUCCACCAUGGGUAGGGGUUCUCACUGACCACACACUG
rnacentral:lncRNA from 1 species